rnacentral:rRNA from 1 species
UCUUUCUUUUGCUGGCGACCGGCGCACGGGUGAGUAACACGUAUCCAACCUACCCUUUACUCGGGGAUAGCCUUUCGAAAGAAAGAUUAAUACCCGAUAGCAUAAUGAUUCCGCAUGGUUUCAUUAUUAAAGGAUUCCGGUAAAGGAUGGGGAUGCGUUCCAUUAGGUUGUUGGUGAGGUAACGGCUCACCAAGCCUUCGAUGGAUAGGGGUUCUGAGAGGAAGGUCCCCCACAUUGGAACUGAGACACGGUCCAA